GAUGAAGAACGUAGCGAAAUGCGAUAAGUAGUGUGAAUUGCAGAAUUCAGUGAAUCAUCGAAUCUUUGAACGCACAUUGCGCCCCUUGGUAUUCCAUGGGGCAUGCCUGUUCGAGCGUCAUUCAAACCUUCAAGCUCUGCUUGGUGUUGGGCGUCUGUCCUGCCUCACGGCGCGGACUCGCCUCAAAUCUAUUGGCGGCCGGCACGUUGGCUUCGAGCGCAGCAGAAACGCGAACUCGAGACCGGCGGAUCGGCUCCCAGAAGCUACCCCCAUGAAUUUGACCUCGGAUCAGGUAGGGAUACCCGCUGAACUUAAGCAUAUCAAUAAGCGGAGGA
rnacentral:misc_RNA from 1 species